UACGAAGGGGGCUAGCGUUGUUCGGAAUCACUGGGCGUAAAGGGCGCGUAGGCGGCCGAUCAAGUCGGGGGUGAAAGCCUGUGGCUCAACCACAGAAUUGCCUUCGAUACUGUUUGGCUUGAGACCGGAAGAGGUUAGUGGAACUGCGAGUGUAGAGGUGAAAUUCGUAGAUAUUUGCAAGAACACCAGUGGCGAAGGCGGCUGACUGGUCCGGUUCUGACGCUGAGGCGCGAAAGCGUGGGGAGCAAACAGG
rnacentral:rRNA from 1 species